UAGGGAAUCUUCCACAAUGGGCGAAAGCCUGAUGGAGCAACGCCGCGUGUGUGAUGAAGGCUUUAGGGUCGUAAAGCACUGUUGUAUGGGAAGAAAUGCUAGAAUAGGGAAUGAUUCUAGUUCGACGGUACCAUACCAGAAAGGGACGGCUAAAUACGUGCCAGCAGCCGCGGUAAUACGUAUGUCCCGAGCGUUAUCCGGAUUUAUUGGGCGUAAAGCGAGCGCAGACGGUUGAUUAAGUCUGAUGUGAAAGCCCGGAGCUCAACUCCGGAAUGGCAUUGGAAACUGGUUAACUUGAGUGUUGUAGAGGUAAGUGGAACUCCAUGUGUAGCGGUGGAAUGCGUAGAUAUAUGGAAGAACACCAGUGGCGAAGGCGGCUUACUGGACAACAACUGACGUUGAGGCUCGAAAGUGUGGGUAGCAAACAGGAUUAGAUACCCUGGUAGUCCACACCGUAAACGAUGAAUACUAGGUGUUAGGAGGUUUCCGCCUCUUAGUGCCGAAGCUAACGCAUUAAGUAUUCCGCCUGGGGAGUACGACCGCAAGGUUG
rnacentral:rRNA from 1 species